CGCAUCUGUGCAUGCAGCAUAUCAAUAGCGGAGGAAAAGAAACUAACAAGGAUUCCCUCAGUAACGGCGAGUGAAGCGGGAAGAGCUCAAAUUUGAAAUCUUGAAAGGUCACCUUUCACGAAUUGUAGUUUAAAGAAGUGUUUUCUGUUACGAUCGUAAUAUAAGUUCUUUGGAAUAGGACAUCACAGAGGGUGAGAAUCCCGUCUAUGAUUGCGAUUUGUAGCUUUGUGAUACACUUUCAAAGAGUCGGGUUGUUUGGGAAUGCAGCCCAGAACGGGAGGUAAAUUUCUUCUAAGGCUAAAUAUUGGCGAGAGACCGAUAGCGAACAAGUACCGUGAGGGAAAGAUGAAAAGAACUUUGAAAAGAGAGUUAAAUAGUACGUGAAAUUGUCAAAAGGGAAGCGUUUAACACCAGUGUUGUUUUCUGAAAAUCAACCUCUGUUAGCUUUAUGCAUGUUUGUUUAGACCUAAUCAGCUAUCUUGCAUGUUCUAUUGUUUGCAGUGGUGCACUUUUCAGUUUACAGGUCAACAUCAGUUUUUUUUACCGUAAAAAAGUUAAAGAAAGGUAGCUCAUGGCUCCGGUCGUGAGUGUUAUAGUCUUUUUCCUAUGCGGUAGGAGAGACUGAGGUCUGCAGUGUAGGCUAUUUGGCUAGAUACUCAGGUGCUAUGUGAUACCAUUUCAUAAACAACUUGUUGAUUAUGUUUUGUCUAUUGCAUACUCGCUUGUACUAUCAUACCUACGCUUAGGAUGUUGACGAUCAGCUGAGCGCG
rnacentral:rRNA from 1 species